rnacentral:rRNA from 1 species
AAUGAACGCUAGCGGGAUGCCUUCUACAUGCAAGUCGAACGGAGUGCCGGACGGGUGAGUAAUACAUCGGAACGUGCCCAGUAGCGGGGGAUACCUACUCGAACGAGUGGUUAAUACCGCAUACUACUGGUGCGGCACAUAUCGAAUUAGCUAUUGGGUGGGGUAAAGGCUCACCAAGGCAACGAUCCGUAGCUGGUUUGAGAGGACGACCAGCCACACUGGAACUGAGACACGGCCCAGACUCCUACGGGAGGCAGCAGUGGGGAAUUUUGGACAAUGGGGGAAACCCUGAUCCAGCCAUCCCGCGUGUAUGAUGAAGGCCUUCGGGUUGUAAAGUACUUUUGGCAAAGAAGCGGUAUCUGCAGAAUAAGCACCGGCUAACUACGUGCCAGCCGCCGCGGUAAUAC